GCCUUCGUGGUGUAAUGGUCAGCACACUGAGCCAGUAUUUCAGAGCUCCGUGGUUCGAUCCCCGGCGAAGGCG
rfam:Stegodyphus mimosarum contig112147, whole genome shotgun sequence.